GGAUGUGCGGGCAAUCUGGCUGUGACAUCUGUCACCCCACUGAUCGCCAGGGUUGAUUCGGCUGAUCUGUCUGGCUAGGCGGGUGUCCCCUUCCUCCCUCACCGCUCCAUGUGCGUCCCUCCCAAUGCUGCGUGCUCAGUCGAAGAGGACGACCUUCCCCGCUAGAGGAGGACCAGUCUUCGGUCAAGGGUAUAUGAGUAGCUGCGCUCCCCUGCUAGAACCUCCAAACAAGCUCUCAAGAGAUCUAGUGGAAAAAGUAGAAAACUUGCAAGAACAAAAGGAUAAGUAGAGUGACGGAAUCACU
rnacentral:snRNA from 1 species